GCCCCUGUGGUGUAGCCUGGACAACACGUGGGACUGCGGAUCCCAUUCCCCGGGUUCAAAUCCCGGCGGGGGCA
rnacentral:tRNA from 1 species